rnacentral:rRNA from 1 species
UACGGGAGGCAGCAGUGGGGAAUAUUGCACAAUGGGCGCAAGCCUGAUGCAGCCAUGCCGCGUGUAUGAAGAAGGCCUUCGGGUUGUAAAGUACUUUCAGUCGUGAGGAAGGUGUUAAGGUUAAUAACCUUAGCAAUUGACGUUAGCGACAGAAGAAGCACCGGCUAACUCCGUGCCAGCAGCCGCGGUAAUACGGAGGGUGCGAGCGUUAAUCGGAAUUACUGGGCGUAAAGGGCACGCAGGCGGUUAAUUAAGUUGGAUGUGAAAUCCCCGGGCUUAACCUGGGAAUGGCAUUCAAGACUGGUUAGCUAGAGUCUUGUAGAGGGGGUAGAAUUCCAUGUGUAGCGGUGAAAUGCGUAGAGAUGUGGAGGAAUACCGGUGGCGAAGGCGGCCCCCUGGACAAAGACUGACGCUCAUGUGCGAAAGCGUGGGGAGCAAACG